GACAGAGGUGCCGAGCGUUAGGCGGAAUCACUGGGCUUAAAGCGUGUGUAGGCGGGCCGUUAAGUGUCUUGUGAAAUCCCCCGGCUCAACCGGGGAAUUGCUAGGCAUACUGGCGGUCUUGAGCAAUCUAGGGGCAGAUGGAACAAGUGGUGGAGCGGUGAAAUGCGUAGAUAUCACUUGGAACGCCAAAGGUGAAGACAGUCUGCUGGGGAUUUGCUGACGCUGAGACACGAAAGCCAGGGGAGCGAACGGG
rnacentral:rRNA from 1 species